rnacentral:lncRNA from 1 species
UUUUCUUCCAUAUGGAAUGCAGGAACCCACUGCCCGUGUCGAGUUGUUACUUGAAAAAUAGCUAGCUUGACAUGAAACUGAGGGACUACUCCUUGAACUGUUGUACAAUCAACAACAUAUGUGCAUGGUUAAAACCAUGGCAAAUAAUGGUUUGAAUACAUGUGAGGAUCAGAUAACUGAUCAUACCCUUGUUACUCUCAAGUGGAUAUAUCCCUGAGAGAGAUAAUACAAGACUCAUUGCAAUCAAACCUUCUAAAUCUUAUAUGAUAGAACGAAUGACGGGAACAACAAAUGCAGGGAGAGGAAAGGCAGAGAGGUGACCAAGUGAGUGAGUAAAGAAGCUAAGCAAACUUCCCAAAUUACACUCCCAUACUCCCAUGGUGAUGCAAGGCUCUUUAGAAGUCGUGUUGCAAGGAGUAAUUAACUGGCUAGAAAGGCUUCAUCAAGAUCGUCUAUUCACAUAUCAAACAAGUUGCGAAGCGAAAGCAUUGAACAUUUGGAGCUACAACUUAGUGGGCGACACAAAGAAGUUGGAAACGACAUAUAGCAAUACAACUUAAACUUUAAUAAAAUGAGAAAUAUAGUUACCUUCUUCAAAACAAAUAGAAAAGAGAAAACUUUGUGUGUGCCAUUCAAACUUCACUAAGAAAUUAAAAGACGGUGACAUUCCCUAACUCUUAUUACCGUGUAGGACAUGGAGGUUCCGGUGUGCGCCAUUCAUUUUCUUUUUCUCCCAUGUGACCUCUAACUCGUAUUACUGUGCCUGGCAUGGAAAUGUUGUGUAUUAUACACAAUGGCCUACUAAAACCAUAUACAGUGUACUAGAAUGUUGUGUAUGCCGCAUGUAAAUAUUGUGUGUGCCGGCUGAGCAGGUGAGCAAUGCAACAACAAAUAGAUGCACAAAGAGUACACUGUUCUACAUAGAUGAGGGAAUAUCAGGUGUAUGUAUGCGUGCACAUGCGCGCCUCCGGGCCAAAUGGGAACAGCAAAUAACAUGGCGACCUUGCUCCACUAUAAUCCUUUUCGGAAAAAAAUUAUGGUCGAUUGCAACCUAAUACUCCCUCCAUUCCAUCAAUGUCAAUCAAUUGUGGUGUCACUCAGGACCUUCACGGACCAAGGCCGCUAGGCUGAGAAUGCCUUAUCGCCAUCGGAUCAUGGUAGGCAUGCCAUAGGGUGUAUCCGGGACAAAACCAAGUCUGCCUAGAGAACAAGAACGAGCAGUCUGACAUGAUGUGUUGCAUCAUUUCCGGUAGCAUACAUGCCAGCUAGUGCAGCAAUCUAGUAGCAGUUUUGGCACGCAAGCAAGGUGAAGAAUUUGAUGGGCUAGGCGUCCAUGACUUCUCAGUAAGCUUCCGAUGCUGGGCCCAGAACGAGCCUUGGUACAGGGCUGAGUUGCUAGUCGUGUUAUCGUGUAUCAACAAACACUAAAGGAGGUAGUCUGGCUCGCCAUGCAGCUGAAAGUCACGGAGGGCGAGCUUGACACUUUGAACUCUGUCUUUUUUUUUGGAAGACUAUGAACUCUGUCAAUUGUACCGAGUGCUAUCGAAGUUAGCUCUUCAGUCUUCAGUACCAGAAAAGUCGGCAUGGUUAAAAUCAUUCUCGUGAAAGGAACAAGGAGUGAUUGAUGUCAAAAUCCUUUCAUAAGCUCCCCACAGGCAGCAGCAGUUGCCGGCGAUUUAUAGUUAACUUUUGUAAAUGUGUUGGGUCCAGAACUCAAACAAGGUUCAUGCAACGAGCUCAGGUUCAUGCAACGAGCUCAUGUUUACAGUUAACUUUUGUAAAUGUGUUGGGUCCAGAACUCAAACAAGGUUCAUGCAACGAGCUCAGGUAUACAGGCUCGGUCCCUCUAUCAUCAAGCAAUACCUUCACUCAUGCAUGGCUAGAUAGUGGUCAAGCUGUAGAUCCAAUGUCAUCGUUGAUGUUCUACAUGAAAUAGGAAGCAGUGGUAUUACUGAGGUGAGGGCUGCCUGUGGUAGUCACCAAUUAGUGCAUGGUUAAUUCCCUCCCACCCAUGGUAAUCCACAUUAUACUUGCUGUCCAGUCAUUUAUAUUCUUAUGUAGUGAACUCUUGUGCCUUGCCCUAUUAUUACACAAAUACUCUACUUGAUAUCCGAGAUUUCCCCGGAUAAAGUGCGAGGCCCAGAUCAUGUGAUAAGUCACAUACUAGUAGCCAGAAGCACUCCUGUUUUAAGCUUUAACAUACUUAACAGCAUAUCAAGAUCCAUAAAAAGUAAAUUAGAGAUUACAGAAAUGGAAUAUACCUGGUUAACAGCUACUGCGAAAGCAAUACUCUCUGAUCUGGCAGCAACAUCCAGAAGAUAUUGCUAGCAACAUCCAGAAGAUAUUGCUACCAACAUCCAGUGCGAUUUCUCAGACUCAUCUGGUGAAAGUGCUAGCAUCAGAGCCUCAGAUCUGUGCAGAUAAUAUUAAAAAGUAAUGAGAUAUGUGAUACAUCUCGUGCACUUCCAAGUUCAAACAAUAGCAGUCCAAAUAAUGUGAUAAUAUAUGAUGUGCGCCGAGUGAGCGGCCAGGAACAUGUAGGUUGUGUGUGUGUAAGAAAAAAAACCAAUGCAAGUUGCAUACAUUUACACCAAACGCUUAAUGGAAAUAAGAAGAUAUAUAGGUCAAACUAAUAGCUGAGUACAAUCAUAUAAAUCACUGUUUGGAUAUCAAAUCAACAUGUUGUAUUCACACAAAAUGGUUUGCAGGUAGCCAACUUAAUGUGUCAGGCUAUAUACUUUUCACUCUGAGAACCUGGAGAGAGAGAAGACCAACAAGCUAUAAAUUAAAAAUAAAAGAGGAAGAUUUAUUUUUACAUUAUAGCCUGUUAGUUUGUAGUAGGCCUGCCAGUUAAUGGUUUGACUAUGGUGGAAGACUGAACUGUCAGAAUGGGCUAGUAUUUGUAGUAUGUAUGCGUGCACGUGCAUGCACACACACAAAUCUCAAGCCUCCGGACCAAAUGGGAACAGCAAAUAGCAUGGAUGGAAGAGGUACGUAAUUGUAUACACGAACUACAAACGCAACCAAAUAUCGGUGGAAGCUUCGUGGCCUUUGUAUCUGGUUUAACUGGGCAACUCUUUUUCCAUAUGGAGAUGCAGGAAGCCCCUGGCCCUGUCGAGUUGGUACUUGAAAAAUAGCUAGCUUGACAUGAAACUGAGGGACUACUUGAUCAGCUCUACAAUCAACACCAUAUGCACCUGGUUAAAAUCAUAGCUUGACAUUAAACUGAGGGACUACUUGCCGCAGAGUUCCAUCGCCCACUAUCUGCACAACCUCCCCCCUUCUCCUCGCUAUCUGCUCUUCCCCCUUCCCCGUCUCCUUCGGCUACCUGCGCAAGUACGCCACCGAGGCCGUUGAUGCCCCAACGUCUCUCCUAUCUCCUCUCUUUCCUUCUACAGCAGGCCCACCGCCCACCACCACCACAUUCCCCUCGUCAUUCCCGUCCCCCCCAACGGCGACUUCUAGAAGUAUGCCGCCGCCUGCGAUCUGCUCAACUCUGAGGCCAUGACGCCACCUACUGCUAUUUCCCCUUCCCGGCCGACGCGCUCCACCCCCUAUUCUGGUGUGAUAGUUGAUGUGGAGGUGCUACUGCCUUUCCUUGCCAAAACUUAUCCUGCCCAGCCCUUGGCGCCUCCCGAAUUCACUAUUUUCUGCCACCAAGUCCGUGCCUUUUUGGAACCGUCCAGAAACCAGGUGGGUAUGCAGAUGGGACUCAUACUGCCCGAACUAAGCCCAAGAAGCCAUACACUGGUCACACUCUCACACAUUGAGAUCAAACAGAGUGUGAGGAGGUAGGAUUCGCUGCCCUUCUCGUUUUGAUCUGCUCGUCAAGGACCAAGGUAUGGUGGUCUGACGAAGAUUAAAAUCUCAUAUAUCUGACUAUCUCUCAACAACUCUUGUUUCAUUUCUGUCGGGCAAUCCUUACUUGUGCAAAUGCAGAGAUUAAAGCAUUAGUGGUAACAUAGAGAACUGUCUUCUAUGCCCAAGUCACCACUUCUUGUGAAAUAAAACUUUAAGUAUUAAAAGGAAUCCCAAGCGUUGAAUAAAACUUUUAGAUUUAUAAGUGCAGCAUGCUUCAUACUUCAUCAUUCUGGACAUUUUUGCUGUGAAUGUAUUUUGUUUUCCCACCACCGGCUGCAAGUUAUGAAUCGUAUAUGGGUCCUGCUUGUUAUGAUAGGCUCUUGUGAAAUGCUGUGAAAUUUUGAUUCUGUUUGGGUUUGUACUUUUUGGCUACCACACCUAUGCAUAUCACUUGUUUUAUCCGUAUUGCUUACCAGAUGAUGAUAAGAUUUAUCAUGUGGAAUUUCAGAUCUGAGUCGCAACUCAUUUAGUGGUAUGCUCACGUCGUUAAGUGCUUGGAGCAAGGAGAAAGCUCGAAAGGUAAAUCAUUAGUCGAAACCGUGUGCCUAUAAAAUCUAUAUGUGUCUUUGAAUUGUUUUUUUAGUAGUUGCCUUUGUUACUCUUUCUGUUCAGAUAAAAACAGAUGAUGCCUACAACAGGUCGUUUUGUCAUCAGCACCUCUCCUUUGCUUGGUAGCUCCAGUCCAAUUUUUCAGGCUGCACCCUGGAUAUUUAUUUCCAUGCUGUCUGUUAUCGACAUUUUUUUUUGCAGAAACCUGGUUGAUGUAAGAAGUUACAAGUAUGUGAACUCAUCCCUUCUAUAUACAUAUGUUUCAAAAUCAUUUUUUACUUGACAUUUGGUUUUUUUGCUCUGUACAAUGUUCUGCAACUGUUGUCCAUUGUUUUUUUCCUUUGCCUAAUUAUACUACAGACCUCUACAUGCUCCUUGUUUUGCCGGUCUAAAUAUACAGGAGACUAUAUAUAUGAUGUAUUGAUUGUCCGAUGUACUUUUAGGUGAGAAGAUUAAGUACUGGUUGUCUGAUGUUCUUUUAGGUGAGAACAUAGAUGAGCUUAACUAUUCAGUCAAACACUUGUACUUCAAUCUUGUUUCUUUGUUCUGGAAGCAUUUAUAAGUGUGUGCUCAGGCUAUAUAAUAUGUUUGUCAUUUGGAUAUAUUAAUUGCUGCCAUUUACCUUCACAUUUAAGUCUGGUUUGCCUAAUAUACUAGCACAAAGUGAGCUGAAUCCUUGGAUAAAAGGUAACAUAAUAGCUUGUUUUGCUUUCUAGAGCUGUUCCAAGGAAAGCAACAGUUCCGUUGAAGUAGUUACUCUAAGGCUGUACAUGAUAAUAUGUACUGAAAAUCGAUGGCUGUGCCAGUGAUUUGGGAGAUUUGGCGUGAGCGCAAUCGCCGCAUUUUUCACAAAUUAGAGUUGUUAGCUUGCCAUUGACGAAGCCAAUGUUGGAAGAAUACCGGCGCACGACACAUCAUUCAGUAAUAGUAAUCUAGCUUGGUGGUCCUCGGGGAUUCUGUGUGUUUCUCCUCUGCCUUUCCGGUGUUUUGUACAUUGUUCACUCAUGUCAAUAAAAUCAAAGUUGUCUGGUGCAAUUGCCAAAUGUUUAUGGAUAGAUUUUCUAUUUGUCACAUUUUCUGUGUCCCCUCAAUAUGAGAGAGCAAUGAGAAAACUGUGACGAGUCUUCUGCAAGUUGAAAAUGUGGAAGAAAAUGUUUGGCUUGGACAAGGGGGUUUAUUAGUUGGAAACCAUGUGUUUGAUUUUGCUCAAUGUGUACCUAUCAAUGAUAUAACAUCACUUUGAUCAAGAUCUUGGUACAUCUUUUAUUGUUCACUAGGCUGCUGACCCUUGAGUAAACAAUGUUCCACGAGAUCUCUUGUAAUUCCGUGGCGCAGCACGGGCAUCUUACUAGUUACUUGCUAAUACGUAUCUCACUAGAGAACUUAAAUCAAAACUGUGGAUGUGAUCUCACCUAGUAGUGCCAGGAGAGCGACUCCGCAAUGUGGCCCUCGUGCUGGCCGGCGGCGAAGCGGCCACCUCUGCCGAAACUUGUAUGAUUGGCCUUCCUGUGCAUCCAUCUCCAUGUCCAAGUGUCCAGGUCGCCAGCACGGUUGCUGAGGGACAUGGACUGACGGACGGCGCCAUCGCUAGCGCAUCUGGAUCUCCUCACCGGCCCACUCCUCCCGUUUCUACCCCGCCCGACAGAGGCACGGCGGCCGGGCGUCGAGGGUGCGGGGAGGGGAGGGGGGAGAGCUGUUCGUUGGAUUGGUGGGCACGGUCGUCGUCGCCGACUUCAGAGACGCGGCGCCGCAGGAGACCGCGGGAGUAGGACGCAAACGCCAGCGCGAGAGAGGGGAGAAACUAAACUGGGCGGUACAAGCGGCGUGGUGACGACGGCUGGAGGAGUGGCGGCGGCCGGCGGCGGGGGUUGGUUGGUGAAGGGGAGGGAGGAAACACAAAAUCAAACCCUCGAUACAGGGACCCUUCGAAGAAUUGGGAAUUUGUACGCUACAAUAACCCUAGAACUGGAUACC